ensembl:lncRNA
AAUGGCAAUGACAACAAUGCUAACACCGUUAUACUCAUUCGCAUUAUCAUUAGAUGAUCAUUUUUCUGUGCAUGGUACUGCUCUCUAUGCCACUCUGGAGGGGUUCCCAUGUGUUUCCUCGUGAUCUGAGCCCUGCCUCAUUCUGUCAAAACAGGUGUCUUGUCUUUCUGUCAUCCAUGGUGAGACUUACAUGCAUUCUGCUUUCCUCUUUACCCCCUGGAGUUUUCCUCUCCCCAAGCUUGAAAUAUUCAUCCGUAAAUCUCAGCGUUCAUCUUCUGAUAAUUCUUUUUAACCUCAGAACAUAGAUCGUGCACACACACAAACACACACACACACAAACACACACCCCACCCUUCUGAACUGUUGUCAGCCUCCUUUUUUACAAGGAAAGAACAUCUAUUUUAAGUGCUGCACCAAAGACCAACCACCCACAGACUGCUAGAGAGAGUAAGAGUGAGAGAGAGAGAGAGAGAGAGAGAGAGAGAGAGAGAGAGAGAGAGAGAGAGAGAGAGAGAGAGUGGGAGAGAAAGGGAAAGAGACAUAGAGAAUGAGAUUGGCAUAGCUCAUCCUGUGGAGCAAAGAUGAUUUGGGUGGGGUAGGGGGUAAGAAGAGAAGAUGUGGAAAUGGUGGUGGAGGUUGUAAGCGAACAGCUCAUCAAAACGCAACAGAAUAGUCAGCACUGCACAGUUUAUCUAACACACACCAUAUACACAGGCAGAUCUGUUGCAGAUACAUCAUCCUGACUUAUGAGCCAGACAGUGUAUCCUGAAACUCCUGCGACACGGAAAAGAGAAAAGAAAUGGAAUUGCCCUGACUUUGCAUCAACUAUUCCCAUCUGAGGGAGUGUGUGUGUUCAGACAUAAAGGGCUGUCUCUGCCCCUAGACAGAUGCCCAGACUGAGUGAUUCAGCACUACUGAAGCACAGCCAAGACCACUCUGUCCUGUGAUGACAAGAGCCAUAACGUCCUGUGAGAUGCUCCUGGACAGAACAAGCAUCUGUCAAAAUAGGCCGGCCUCAGUGGACGCCUCGCUAAUGGCAGCCGAAUCGAGAUAGAGAGGAAACAAGAGGACAAGCAGGAGAUACAGAGGACAAGGAGGAUUCGUUUAGCAUGAAGUUUGUGAUUCUUUUUUUAUUUAUUUUUUGCAUAGAAAUUUGCAAAAAAUGACACGUUCUGAUAAUCGAGAUAGAGAGGAAACAGUCGGACAAGCAGGAGAUACAGAGGACAAGGAGGACUCAUUUUGCAUGAAGUUUUUUUGUUUCUGUUGGGUUUUUUUGCAUAGAAAUUAGGGGAAAAAAAUGACGUCCUGAUAAAAAAAUCAGGAAUGAGAUGCUACGUUUUCUACAAUUAAAAUUAGUUGUAACAUGCAGUUCAUGGAUAGUCAUGGUGGAGUACAUAUACAUGCUGGUGCUGCUGUAAAGGAACUGACCUUAUAGGUAAAAGAAAAAAAAAAUCACAUGUGAUCAAAAAAGAUCACAUGUUAAAAAUAAAAGUUUCAUGUAGGAAAAAAUACUUGUAAAAGUAAAUCAAUCGUGUGAUAUCAUUAACGAAUCACCUGUGGAAAUAAGAGAUUCAUGUAAAAGCAUCCUAUAUUAAAAUAAAUGAAUCAUGGGGGGUGGGGGGUCAUGAAAAUAUCUGAAUCAUGAAAAAAAAAUUAUGUGAAAGUAAAUGAAUCAUAUGCAAAGUGAAAUAAUGUUUAAAUUCAUGUGAAAACAUCACACCAUUAAUGAGUCAAGGGAACAAAUCAAGUAGAAAUGAAUGAAUCAUGUUGACAAAAUACACAUGAAUAAUACUGCAUCAUGUCUAAAAAAAUUCAUAUUUGUAUAAAGGAAUCAUAUGGGGAAUAAAAUCAGACAUAAAUAAAGGAAUCAUUUUGGUGAAUCACAUGUGGAAAUAAAUUAAUCAUUUGGGGGAAUCACAUGUGGAAAUAAAUGAAUCAUUCAGGGGGAAUCAUGUGGAAAUAAAUGAAUCAUUUGGGGUGACUCACAUGUGGAAAUAAAUGAAUCAUUUGGGGGGAAUCACAUGUGGAAAUUAAUGAAUCAUUUGGGGGGAAUCACAUGUGGAAAUAAAUGAAUCAUUUGCGGGAAUCACGUGUAGAAAUAAAUGAAUCAUUAGUGGGGAUUCACAUGUGGAAAUAAAUGAAUCCUGUAAAAAAAAAAACAGUCAAAAUAAAUAAAUCAU